UCUGGGCUCGUCUAACGGUAGGACACCGGGCUCUGGACCCGGCAGUCGAGGUUCAAAUCCUUGGCCCAGAGCCA
rnacentral:tRNA from 1 species